AAAUUAAAUUAAUAUUAUGUUAAUCUACAAAUUUUAGAAAGAUAAUUUAGGUUUUAACUGCUUUUUUGAAUUUUUUCUGGGUGAAAUUGUGUAAUUAAUGUGUCAUUUGGGCAAAUAACCUAAAGAAAUUUUGAGUUUUAUCAGAUAAAAUUGUGUUUAUGGUUUAUUUUCGUUAUCCGUCAAACCAAACAGUUAAAUUAAAUCUUUGUUGUCGUCGGACUCUGAACUUCCGGGUUCUGCACUUCCGGUUUCCUCCUCAUGUGAAAUAUGACACCAGAGCUCCAUCUAGCGGCAAAUGUCGGAACUGUUGUUGUUUUUGUUUUUUCACAGAAACAACAUGGCCGCCCCCGCGCGCCGGUGACGACUGCUAGCAAGAAAAAAAAACCGCCGGUCAUGAAGGAAAUCAGCUCCCCUGAAGACCGGAAGCAGUUCUUCCGGCUCCUUCUGCAGCUGGAGAAGAUCUCUGCGGGGAGGAGCUCCGGGAACGCCGCCGUUCUCCUCAACAGGCUGGAGAAGUUCCGAGUCACGGCGGAGGAGGUGGAAAUAACCGGCCUGGAGGAGGUUCUGCUCCGGCUGCUGAGGAGCAGCGAGGAGCUGAGCUUCAGGGAGAAGGUCCAGGGCUUGUUGAGGAGGUGGAGGAGCGGAGACAGAGGAGGGGUGGAGGAUCAGCUGAGCAGCACGGGUUCUCCUGGAGGUUCUGAGGAGGACGGUGUUCUAGCAGAUCCAGAACCCACAGCGGUGAAGGCUCCGGAGCCACAGUCCCCGGGGGAAGAACCGGGUCUCCAGAGUCCAGGAUCCACUGCAGAGAGGAGAUCUGCGUCCUUAGAAUCUGCCAGAACCAAAUGUGUCCAGCUCCUCCUCGCCGCCCUCCUCCCUGACCUCCCUGACCCCCCUGACCCAGAGCAGGCAGCAGAGCUGGCGGGAGCCAUCGAGGAGCACAUCCACCAGCUCCACAAACCCAACCAGCUCAGGUACAAGACCUGUGUGAGGAGCAAGGUGGCAAACCUGAGGAACCCCAAGAACCCGCACCUCCGCCGGGGGCUCCUGAGCGGCUCCCUGCUCCCCCAGGCCUUCGCCCGCAUGUCUGCCGAGGAGAUGGCCGGCCCCGAGCUGCGCAGGCUGCGGGAGGAGAUCUGCAGGCGGGGCGUGAACGAGAGGCAGCUCCCCCGGCUGGAGGAGGGGACGCCCACACGGGGGGUGCGGUGCCGCCGGUGCGGGGGGUCCGACUGCAGGGUGACGCAGGUGUCCAGGGGGGCGCUCUUCCUGCCCGCGUGGGUGAGGCGGGGGGGCCCCGGCGAGGACGCCAUGACCUUCGUGACCUGCAGCGUCUGCGGGCAGCAGUGGUACCACAGCCGCUGGAGCUGCCUGUAGCUCCAGGGGUCAAAGGUCAUCAGAGGAGGACAGAAGGUUCCUCAGACAGAACCAGUGACUCGCAUGAUUCAGCUUUUAUUUUGAAAUGAGGAAGGAAGCCGUUUGACCUUAAAUUUCCAAAUGUUCUUGUUGGUCCUCGAGCUUUCUCAUCUUCUCGGUUCCGUUGCAUCAUGGGAAACGGAGUCAGGAGACGUGUGACGGCUGAGGAUGAUGGUCAUGUGACUCCUCCUCCUCCUGAGGUGGUGACUCCACAUCGCUGUGAAAUCACAUGGAAGGAAUCUGAGGAAUGUCGGGGAAAGCGGGUUCUGUCUGGACCACAAAGGAGACCAGAACCAGAACCAGAACCAGACGUCACAUUUGGAGGAGGGGCUUCCUCGUCUUCAUGGAGGAGCGUCUGACAGUCCUCUUUCAUUCACAGAUUUUCUCCCCAAAGGGGGAACUUACAUGUGAAAUCUUUUCCAGAAAAGCAUCCGGUUCAGUUCAGAGAACCCAGAAUGAUGCUGUCUGUCCACAUUUUUAUGAACUUUAUCAUCAAAAAGGCUACAAACCUAGAAUAGAUGUAUUUAUAGUCAAUGUUGCACAUUUUCUCUGUUUAUUGGAGCUUUAUUGACACAUUUUAAUGAUCUCUGAUCACCAAAAAUCAUCUCGUUUUACUGACAUGUUUUAGCUUCUUUAAACGCUCCACUAAAAUAGACAUAUUUCUGCUUUUUUAAAGCGUAUUUUUGUAGUUUAUAUUAGUUCAGACGCAGUUCAGAAUAAAAUAUGAAGGAAUAAAAUAAUAUAUAUAUAUAAUUAAAAACAGUAUAAACAACUUUUACAGAACAUAUUCCCAAUAAAAGCGUAAAGUUUUACUACCACAUUUUAUUGAUUUUAUUGACUGACCUUUCAUUAUUUUCCAAUUGUAAUGGUAUUUUUCUGAACUACUGGAUGUAGCUCGUUAACUUCUACAUCUUUAACAUUUUUUAUUUAUUCUGUAUAUUUAUUGUAUUUUGCAUAUUUAUCCUUUUCUCUGAAGAUUUCAACAUAAAAAUAAAGCUUUUAUUGUUACAUAUUAAGCGGCAGUAAAACCUCUAUAGUUUUAAUUUGGUCAAAUUAUUUAUUAUGUGUGGUGGUGCUGACGUCAUCCCGGAGGGGGUGUGGCAGUCCAGUGGUCAUGUGACCGUCCGCGCUUGUUGGAGCCGCGAGGACUUUCUUCGGAGGAAGUCUCACCGGACGAGGUGGAUCCGCGGCGGGACGGACGUGAGGGUUUCUGAACGUUAGACGUCAUCGCCGAACUCCAGGACGAGCCACGUUCAUGACAGCAGCCGCACAGACCACAGCCCACUCGCGUGGUCGGCUUUCAGCUUUCUCUGAAUAAAGGCACAGAGUGAAGCACAUGACUGCGCGUGUGACUGCACGGCCGUCUGCGCAGUCAUCCCUUCAUUCCUGCCUCCGUUCUGCUGUGAGGAAAAUCUGCAGAGCGGCAACAAAGACGGCGUUCUUCUGCUUCUCUGCUGGGCGUUUCUGUUCAUGUGACGCCUCCGCCGCAUGACGCCUUCGGUCAGAAACCUGCGACCCUCAGGAAACCUUCACUGCAGACGCACAGACUUGUAUUUGCUGCAGACCGAUGGGCUUCAUAAAGCUGCAGGUCGUAACUGAGUCGUCUCAAAGUUCUCCGCUAAAGGCAAAACCUCACCGUCGGUGUUUGACUCCGUCUCAGUCCAGACGAUCCGAAUCCUAUGAGCAGAGGAACCUGCAGCAGAACCAGAAUCACGGAAAACGUUCAACCCAAAAGACCAACUUUUCACAGCCGUGGACUCAAUCUAGACCGAUAAAUGUGAAAUCCUUUAAAAUGUUUAACAAAGUAGUUCUGCUUCAGUAGAACUUCAUUCAAAUGACAUUUAACUGGAUAAAAGUUUUCAAAUCAAAACUGAAACAUAAAAAAUGACAAAAACCACCAA